GCAAAUGUUAAUUUAAACUUUAUGUUGUUUUAAGGCAUUGAAUAGUUGCCUAUAUGAAUCCCCUUGGGGUUGAAAAAGAUGGAGUAAGGUAGAACACAGACUUAUUCACACCUGCUUCCCAAUGGUCACCUUGCAAGGUAUGAAACUUCAACUGCCCCUUAUUGAUAUUUGGAAAACCUGACAGCAGGCAAAAAAAAUCCAGACAGGUAGGGGUUAUUUUAUUCAUUUUCUUUUGCCUGUUUAAGUAAGUUUGCUCACCUUUAGGUUUUAAUCAAGGAUUAU
rnacentral:lncRNA from 11 species